rnacentral:rRNA from 1 species
UAAGUAGGGGGCAAGCGUUGUCCGGAAUCAUUGGGCGUAAAGAGCGUGUAGGCGGUUCGGUAAGUCGGCUGUGAAAGUCCAGGGCUCAACCCUGGGAUGCCGGUCGAUACUGCCGGACUAGAGUUCGGAAGAGGCGAGUGGAAUUCCCGGUGUAGCGGUGAAAUGCGCAGAUAUCGGGAGGACCGCCUCUGGCGACGGCAGCUCGCUGGGACGUUACUGACGCUGAGACGCGAAAGCGUGGGGAGCAAACAGG